GUGAACGCUGGCGGCAGGCCUAACACAUGCAAGUCGAACGGCAGCACAAGAGAGCUUGCUCUCUGGGUGGCGAGUGGCGGACGGGUGAGGAAUGCAUCGGAAUCUGCCCAUUUGUGGGGGAUAACCUCGGGAAGCCGGGACUAAUACCGCAUACGACCUACGGGUGAAAGCAGGGGAUCUUCGGACCUUGCGCAGAUGGAUGAGCCGAUGCCGGAUUAGCUAGUUGGAGGGGUAAAGGCCCACCAAGGCGACGAUCCGUAGCUGGUCUGAGAGGAUGAUCAGCCACACUGGGACUGAGACACGGCCCAGACUCCUACGGGAGGCAGCAGUGGGGAAUAUUGGACAAUGGGCGCAAGCCUGAUCCAGCCAUGCCGCGUGUGUGAAGAAGGCCUUCGGGUUGUAAAGCACUUUUGUUGGGAAAGAAAAGCAGCCGGUUAAUACCCGGUUGUCAUGACGGUACCCAAAGAAUAAGCACCGGCUAACUUCGUG
rnacentral:rRNA from 1 species